rnacentral:lncRNA from 1 species
GCUUGAUGGACGCGUGCGGUGCCAGGGCAGAGGGAAGCAGCACGCUCUUCCAGAAGGUUCCGACUCAAGGUCCAGCCAGGGAGACUGGGAGUCCGCACGUCACGGUCCACUGGCCCCCUUCUGCUCGGAGCAACGGUGUCCCAGGUCCAGAGGGCAGCUCUGUGCGAGACCUGGGCCUGGGCCACCAUCAGCAGCCAAGAGGUGGCACGGAGCCGGCUGGAGCCCUGCAGGGGCUGGGGGAGGGGCUGCCCUGGCUGUGGUUGCGGCUGGCGGGGGUCAGCCAGCUGUGGCCUUCAUGGUGGCUCUGGGAAUGGAGGCAGAGGUGGCAGCCAGGACUGGGGACCUGGCGCAGGGGUUUCCCUUCGGAGCAGAAAUAAUGGGGGGCGUGGCCAGGAAUCCUCAGCGCUGUACCCUGGGGAGGCCUCGUCCCACAUCGCUCCCCUCCCCCUGCUGGGGGCCCAAGCGGGUCAGGGACGCCUUGGGGGGACCCCUCACCCCCAGCAGAGGAAGUCCUCAGAGGAAGGGGAAGGGCUCCGGCCUGGGCCAGAGGCAGCCACAAGGCUGGGGACCUGGAAUCAAAAACCGGCCAGGGUCGGGCAUCCCCAGCUUGGAGGGACACCCUGAACUAAAGCUUCGCUACCCCCAAGCUUCUUCAUCUGUGAAAUGGGACCACCAGCGCCCACCCAGGACGGCUGUGGGGCCCCUGGCGUUGAAGCCGCCGGCACGAGAGUUCUUUGCCGUACCCCAGACAACCUCGCCUGCCACUCAGGGAAGAGCCGGCUGGCCCUAGCCCUCAGCGUGGCAUCGGCGACCGGGCUGCUUCCGCACACACAGCCAGCUGCGCCCUGCCGAGGGCCAACCUCUCUGUGCCUCUUCUGUGGAGAUCCCUCCACGCCACCCACUCCCAUCACGAGAACUCAGCCGUGAGAUGCACCCUCGGCCGUCCCGCGAGACGCGUGUCCAGGAGGCGGGUGGGUGCCCGCCGGCCCCUGCCCCGCGCUGUGACAGCCCCGAGGGCCGCAGCCCCUGGAGUGGAGCCUGGAGACUGGAGGGGGCGGGCACGGAAGCAGCGUGUGUCGUCCCGGGUGGAAAGCCGCCCACUGGUCAGGCCCCGAGGCUGGUCACCACGACCCCCGCUCGCUGGCCCCCCAGAACUUCUGGUUCUCACGGAUUCCACUGGCUUCCUGCUCCCGGACGGGGCGAGAGGCUGGCUGGGGGCACAGCAGGUCCCUGCUCUGGGGAGACCUUGCCUUCUGGGCCUCGGGGGACAGGCAGAUCCAGACCGGGCAGAGUUCAGGAAAGAUCCACUGGCCUCCUGCCGCAGGGAUGGGGGCAGCACUCAGAAGCUGCUGCUGCGGCCUUGGCCCGAGCCUGUCUCUCAUCCGUGAACUUUCCAGGGAGGCCAGCAGGUGCCUGUGACCUCGUCCAGGUCGGGGCAGCCAACAGGAAGAUACGGGCUUCACUCUCAUGUCCUGCUGCCCCUCCGAGCCCUGUGCCCCAGGGAUGGUGAGGGGUGGCCCGGGCCCCCCCCCCGCCCCUGGAGCUGCUGCCUGCGGGCAGCAGGUUGUGGGACACCCGCCGCCCUGAGUGGACACCAUGGGGGUCUGCAGUGUCUGGAGUGUGUGUCCCACCUCCCACCCACCUGGCCCUGGCUCGUGCCUCUGAGAGCCUUGCCAUGCCCUCUCCGCAUGCCAGAGGUGGCCCUGCCGAGGCCAGCUGGGCGGGUGCCACCGGGCCAGGCCCUGUGGCGUCAACAGACUGGCAUCUCCCCCGCACAGGAGGCGUCAGCACCAUGCGUGGCACCAGUUAAAGGAACCCCCGUUCACCUGGGGGCCUGCCCCCCCGCACACCUGGAAGCCUAGCCCAGCUGUCACAAGGGAGCCAAGGCCCCCACGGUGGCUAAGGGGAGACAGGCGGAGGCUGGGGCUCAGGGGCUUCGGCAUUUACAUCUGCAGCCUCCCAGGCGCAGCUGCGCUGGCCACGUGGCAAGUGGAGGCUGAACUGGGCACAGGGCAGCUCACCCUCAGACAGGGGUGGUCGCACCCCCAGGGCUCGGCCCCGCGGGAGGACAGGGCCUUUGUGCCCCCCCCCCUUGGGCCAUGGUCCCCUCGGGGCCCCACCUGGAAGGGCACUUCACACCUGUCGGGCCGCUCCCUGGGUGUGGCCCCAACCGGACAUGUCCCGGAAUGUUUGUGUUUGCUCUGCUCCAGUUCUGAGCCGUGCGGGCACAGCACCCGGCCAAGGGCUGGGCCCCCGGGAGAGCCUGCUUCCAGGGGCAGGCCCUGGGGAGCCCGGCCUCGGAGACCCGUGGCCGCUCUGUGCCUUUAGCAGUGUCACAGGCCGGUGGCAGAGGCUCCACGGCCCUCGUCCCCUCCAGGAGUGUGUCCUGUCCAGAGCUGGGGCUCCUCCACAGCACUCGCUCGGGGCGGGGGCUCCUUCCCCGUGCACUCGGGGGCCUUGGCCGUGCGCCCCAGCGGAGGGCUGCUCCCGCGGCAUGGCUCCAGGAGGCAGACGUGUAGACCGCUCGCCCCAGGUGAGGCCACGUGGGCUGGCAACCUGUGGGGUCCACUGGGCAAACCCUGAGCUGCCCGCCUCUGAGUGGCCUUGGGCGCCUGCCCUUGGCGUGUGGGACUGACUCCGGAGACACAGGUCACCCUCUUCCUUCUGGUCCAGUGGGAGCCCGGGGUGAGUCUGAGCCCCUCUCUGUCACUGGUACCGCCCUCUCCCAGCCCCCCGCUCCACCCCUGGUGUCACUGAGAGGCCCGCGGUGUGGCUCAGCUGGGGCUCCAGUGCCCAAGCGCACCUGCACGCACCUGCACACCCACCCAGCACCCCGUCCUCACACACCCACGGGGCGGGGCGGGAACUGCCCAGCUGCGCCCCCUCACAUCCCUGGGAGCAGCCAGGCCUGUGGCCACUCUCACACCCUCUGCUGCCCAGAGGACACGUGCCAGGGGCCUCGGAGACCACACGCAGACCCGGGCAGCUCAGGAGGACCACUCCUCCAGCACCCACCCCUCCCCCGGGUCUGCGGGCUCCCCAGGGCGGGGCCCCUGGAAUUCAGACAAACUGGGUUGAAAAUGCUCCACACGGUCCGAUUCAGAAAGCAAGUCCCCUGGACAGGGCGGCGGCCGUCGGCUCGCCAGCAAACAACAAAGAUCACUGCGUCCGAGGCGCCAGAAAACAACUUCAUCAUUUCCUGCACCCAGGCGCAGCCGCGGCCGCUGGGCCGUGCCACCGGGGUGCAGUGGCAUGGCUGGGCGGCACAGCUGGCGCCUCAGGGAGUCGCAGAGGGAACGCGACCCCCUCCACGGAGAGGCAGGAGCGGUGCGAGGGGACGAGGAGGCUUCGCCGGGGUCCAGAUGCAAAGCUGACUGCCCAGGGCAUUGGUUCCUGGCUGUGAGCAGCACGGAAGGUCCUUUAGGAGUGGACGCUGAGUGAGGGCACGGGCCUGGGGCCCAAACACCCAGCCACGAGCAGACGGAGCGCUCAUGGCCACGGGGGAACCGUGGCUGUGGCUGGGGGCGGGGGGAGCCUCUGAGUGAGGCCAGAAUAACUCAAAAGACCUUGAAACAGUGAACGGGGCCUUGUUUAAAAUAAAGACCAAAGGAUGUAGAGAAGGCA